CUGGACUUACAUAAAGUUGUGCUCGGACUAUCAAUUUGAUUAUUAAAGUUCUGGUUUUAAAGUUUGGU
rnacentral:tRNA from 2 species